rnacentral:rRNA from 1 species
AGGGCGCAGGGCGAAUGCCUUGGCACUGGGAGCCGAUGAAAGACGUGAUAAGCUGCGAUAAGCUUCGGGGAGCUGCAAAUAAGCAUUGAUCCGGAGAUUUCUGAAUGAGGAAACUCACCUGGGUUCAUACUCAGGUACGUUAUACUGAACUUAAAAAUAGGUAUAUCGAGGGAACCGCCUGAACUGAAACAUCUAAGUAGGGCGAGGAAGAGACAUCAAACGAGAUUCCGUAAGUAGUGGCGAGCGAACGCGGAAGAGGGCAAACCGGGAGUAGAAAUACUUCCGGGGUACGGACUGCUUUUAGGACUUAAUCUGUUAACCGAACGGCAUGGGAAGGCCGGUCAGAGAGUGUGAGAACCACGUAGGUGAAAACGGAGAGAGCUGCGCAGGAUCCAGAGUACGGCCAGACACGUGAAACCUGGUCGGAAUAUGGGGGGACCACCCUCCAACCCUAAAUACUACCCAGUGACCGAUAGCGUAUAGUACUGUGAAGGAAAGGUGAAAAGCACCCCGGGAGGGGAGUGAAAAAGAACCUGAAACCCUGUGCCUACAAGCACCUAGAGCACGUCAAUGUGUGAUAGGGUACUUUUUGUAGAACGGUCCGGCGAGCGAUUGUAUGCAGCAAGGUUAAGGACUUAAGGUCUGGAGCCGAAGCGAAAGCGAGUUUGAAAAGGGCGUUAAGUUGCAUACAAUGGGCCCGAAACCGGGUGACCUACCCAUGGUCAGGUUGAAGUGGAAGUAAAAUUCCAUGGAGGACCGAACCGACCUCCGUUGAAAAGGCGGCGGAUGAACUGUGGGUAGCGGAGAAAUUCCAAUCGAACCCGGAGAUAGCUGGUUCUCCCCGAAAUAGUUUUAGGACUAGCCUCAAGUUAGAUACCUGGAGGUAAAGCACUGAAUAGCCUAGCGGCCGAGAGGUUAGCGAAGCUUAUCAAACUCAGAAUGCCAGAGUAUUGAUGCUUGGGAGUCAGACAGUGUCAGAUAAAUGUCAUUGUCAAAAGGGAAACAGCCCAGAUCUACAGCUAAGGUCCCAAAGUCAGGUUAAGUGGAAAACGAUGUGAAGAUACGUAGACAACCAGGAUGUUGGCUCAGAAGCAGCCACACAUUCAAAGAGUGCGUAAUAGCUCACUGGUCGAGCGUCUUUGCGCGGAGAAUUUAACGGGGCUAAACCUGACACCGAAGCUUAGGCAAUACAGCAAUGUAUUGGGUAGGGGAGCGUUGUAUACGCGGUGAAACAGUAGCGCAAGCGGCUGUGGAGUGUAUAGAAGUGAGAAUGCCGGAAUGAGUAGCGCGAAUGCAGUGAGAAUCUGCAUGGCCGAAAGCCUCAGGUUUCUGGAGGAAGGUUCGUCCGCUCCAGGUUAGUCGGGAGCUAAGGUGAGGCCUAACGGCGUAGCCGAUGCACAGACGGUAGAGAUUCCGUCACCACCAAAAGAGUUAAACACAGGGACACAUUUGAAGUCUCGGAGCCGGGUGUUGGUUCCGGUAGCGAUCGAGGGAAAUUAGUACCGAAGUCCGGGAUGGAAGAUGGCGAGAAAAGCUGUGUGUAUUUCUGCGGUGCCCGUACCGCAAACCGACACAGGUAGGUAGGAAGAAGAUUCUAAGGCCAACGGGAGAAGGGUUGUUAAGGAACUCGGCAAAUUGACCCCGUAACUUCGGGAGAAGGGGUGCUCCAGAGAUGGAGCCGCAGAGAAUCGGCCCAAGCAACUGUUUACCAAAAACACAGGUUUGUGCUAAAUCGAAAGAUGACGUAUACGAGCUGACGCCUGCCCGGUGCUGGAAGGUUAAGAGGAGAUGUGCAAGCAUUGAAUCGAAGCCCCAGUGAACGGCGGCCGUAACUAUAACGGUCCUAAGGUAGCGAAAUUCCUUGUCAGGUAAGUUCUGACCCGCAUGAAAGGCGUAAUGAUUUGGGCACUGUCUCGACAGCCCGCCCGGCGAAAUUGUAGUACCGGUGAAGAUGCCGGUUACCCGCGACAAGACGGAAAGACCCCAUGGAGCUUUACUGUAGCCUAAUAUUGGGUUUCGAUGUUGCAUGCACAGGAUAGAUGGGACACAGGGAA